rnacentral:tRNA from 2 species
GUGGCCGUAGUUCAGUCGGUAGAGCGCCAGAUUGUGAUUCUGGUUGUCGUGGGUUCAAGUCCCAUCGGCCACCCCA